AGGAAGCUCGUUUACGCGGAAUCACAGCAUGUCUACGUUUUUUUGUGACUAAGAUUUUAGCCAAGUGUUUAGAAUGAUUUUCUAAUGCCUCGAUACGCAGCGUCGAACUCAAAACAUUCAGUUUACAUUUUCGGAAUAAGCUAACCAGUUACCCACCUGGAAGUACUUUGUCGUAGGAACAACUUUUUUUCUAAUUCCAAACUGUCGUAUGGAAGGUUUAGGGGUACCUGCAAAAUCAAGGUAGCUACAGUAAUUGCUAACUAACGUUAGCUAGUUGAGCUACUCUAUUUGAUCUGAGCCAUUAGUCUAUGACAAACAAUAGGUUACUCCAUGUACAGAUAAUUCAUGUAUUGCAAUCAAUGCGCCCUUGCAAUUGUCAUAUUUGCCGUCAAUAUAGACUUCAAUACAUAGCUAGUUAGCAAGAUGAUUUGGCUACUUGGUGGUACUCACUAUUCGUUUAUGUUAUGUGCCAAGUCUCAUUGGAUCUAACAUUACUGCAGUGAGAUGCAAGUUAAGAUUAUUCAGUAGCCUGAGGCUAGGGUGGACUCCCUUGGUCAGUUGGUAUAAGCCUAACAAUACACUUGGAAUCAACUGUAGUUACACCACUAUCUAAUAUUACAGAACAUAUUUCCUCAGAAUUUUCACUGUUGUAAAAGGGCUUUAUAAAAAUCAAUUGGAUUGAUAUGCUUAAGGAGAUAGGCCUGGUCAGCUACUUGGACAUUACUAGGUCUAACCAAACAAUAUUUAAGUUGACCCUGGGUGUCACCCAGAUAGCUAGUUUAGUUGGUGUGAGAUGGAUGUAGAUAUAAAGCCAGAGGAGGAUGAGGUGGAGAUAUCCCCAGCUGUCAUUUUGUCUGACUCUUUUGAUGCAAGUUAUUCAUAUACCGAAAAUGGAUAUGGCACAGCAAAACAACGGCUUAUUUGUAAUCUGUUAGAAGAUACAAAAUCAAAUGAUAGGGAGAUUAAAAUGAAUUCAACAAAAGUUGGUGAUCCACUUCAAACAGCUGUAAAUGUGGGUGGUAAAGGUGUUGUUCGUGUUCACACAGAACAGGAUAGACCAAGCACCCCUGUAGGGAAUUUAAUCAAAGAGGAGUCAUGUUUUUACAUGUCACCCAGUGAUAUUCAGAUUGGAAAAGUAUGUACCUUGUCUCAGUCUGUCCUGGUCAGCAACAUUAAACAGGCAAAUGUGAUGCCCUUUGCAGAGGAGGUGGUGAAAAACUGCUACCCCUUGUGCAAAGAAAUAGGUGUGGAAUUUGAUGUGAGAUCCAAACCGGCAUCCAAAACAAAACUUGACUCACAGUUACUGACAAAUGGCGUAAUGUAUGAGGUUCAUAAGUUUGCAAAAAAUACAAAAAGGAGUUAUAUGUAUACCGUCUAUAAUAUUCUGAAAUAUAAUUUUGAUGUACGUUUUCAAAAUCAGAAACGCUGUCAAAAUGCCAUACAUAUUGCAUCUAAACUCAAACGAAUGGUCAAACGGAAACAUGUCGCAGAUAAAGACUUUUCAAAAGAAGUGUUUAUAAUACCGCUUGUGACUAGACAAUACAAGAAAAAAGAAGCUAAUCCACCUGCAAGAUUGUCAAAAAGACAAUUGGAUUUGAAAGGGAUACAAGAGGCAGAUGAUACAGAGGAGAAGAUGAACUAUCAGAAGAUGGUUAACAAGACCGAUUUGAAAUAUUUGGUCGCUGAUGCAAGGACUGUAUGGUCUCUGCAUGCUGAAGAGAUCAUCUCUAUCGAAACAGAUGAAACUGUCAAGCUUGGCCAAGAUAAUGGACCCACUGACUUCUGCUUAAAGGAGUCUGACGUUCACUCUGGGGUCACAGAGCAAACCCCAUGCCCAGAGAACUACCAAGUUGACAUUUGCAGGAAAAUGAUCAAUGAAAUUGUUACGAGUGGUGAAAUGCAACAGAUGAGAUGGAUUUUUGUAACCUUUUCAAAGUGUUUUGGUGCUGGGACUGGUUCCGAAAAGAAAUUUGAACAAAUCCUCGCUGAAUACAGAUCAGACAUCCUACCACUGAUGGUUGAGAAAUAUUGUGGCUUUAGUUCCACUGAAAAGACAAUGAUGUGCCUUGUAAGUCAGCUCUUCUGUGGCUUACAUUUGAUUGAUGGCUUUGCUCACCAGGCAAAAACAAGUCUUCUACUUUGGGAAAAUAUGAUUUUAGGAGAUAAAGAAGUAGGAGUCCAUAUUUCCCCUAACAUUGGGACAACAGAGUUGGAGUCUGGAACAGUGCGUUUGGUGAGUUCUGUGAGUGAUGCUGUGCAAGAGCUUGGAUGGGCAGAGGACGGUCAGCUUGUUCCGUUCGAAACCUUUUUGACCAGCAAAAAAGAAUUUGAUGAAGUUCCUUUGUCUCUAUCCAUUGGACACAGAAUAGAUGGUCUGUUCCAUAAUUCUGCUGGGGUGUAUAGCAUCCAUGAUGAUUUGGUUGAGUUUACCAGUACGUACGGAGCUGAGAGUAGUUUGCUUGCGGCAGUUGUUGCUGAUUUGGAGGUUCAACAGUUCAAGGCCGGAUGCAGAGCUCUGGGUCUGGUUUCCAAGCUUAUCAUUGAUCCUCUCUGGAGAGCCUUAACUUUGAAGGGAAACGUGUUGGAGAUGGAAGAAAGAUACCAAACCCUUGUUACCAAACUCAAGGAAUGGCAGGAAGAUGGGAGAGGCCUUGUUAAAGGAAAUGCAUGCUUGUUUGAUGACAUUGAGGUACCCAAGAACCUUGUGUUUGACAGGCUUACCAUGUGGACCGACACAGACUUUUUUGAGUUGACUGUUCAGGUUGUUGAGUUGAUCCUAGCCAGUUUUCUGAAGGUAUGUUCUAUGAUGCGUCCAGUCGAUCCAGAGCUCCUGUCAAAGAAAAAUGAUAGCUUCAGAAAGGAUUUUGCAAUAUUAGAUCAAUUGCAAAAAGCUAAGUCAAAUGCAGUCAGUAUUGCCAUUGAAGGCAUGGACAUGUGCAAGAAGAAUCACACUUGGGAAUGGCUGUACUUUUUAGAUGAACCAAAAAUAGUGUCAAUGAGGAAAACAUUCCAGACAGUGUAGGCAAAGGAAGAAGAAAAGCUCUCUGCCACACCUGCAGAAGAAUAAAAAUUGUAAAGUAAUAGACAUGAAAGAUAUGUUUAUUUUAUUUUAUUGGUUUGGUACUUAUCUAUUUACUAGUAAACCACAGUACAGAACCUUUUAAUAGCAUGGCAUCUUUCAAAAAAUGCAUGAAUGUGCUAUUUUUCUAGCGCCUUGUGUUCAAGUAAACAGCAAUGCAACCUCAGAUAAGUUCAGACAAGUAGAUUAAAAGUAUAAUAUAGUUAGUUACAUUGUAUACCUAUUUUGUGGUAUACUGUAUAGCCUAAAUAUGUUCAAACAUGGUGUCAGUAAAUGUUGAAUGUCGAAUAACACUUAUCCAUUUGGUACCACAUGUGAAUGGUUCCACAUGCUUACCUGUUUAUAUUGUUUGAAAUCCAAUGUAGAGGGUUUUCACGAAGUGUGCUGUCAGGAAAAGUGUAGAGGCUUUGUCACAAUAGUUGAAUUUGCAGAUUCCCUUGGCCUUCUAUUCACCUUUGAUGCCUGGUCUUGUUUAUGAAAAAAAGAACAUGAUCAUUUAGAGAGGAGACCAGUUGUUAUUUUAGUGUUAUUAGCUUAUUUCUGGACCAUUUGUUUUGUUUGACCUUUGAAUUGCCUACUUGAAUGGUCAACUUACAUAUAAAGAAGAUGGAGAGCAAGGCUCUGAAAGUUGUCAACUUUUCCAUUGUCAAAACGAGUUAUGCUUUGUUUUAUUUUAUUUUUUUAAAUACAUUUUUAAAUCAUAUUUUUGUUAUCCAUUUUUGAGAGCCUGUUUUAUCUCUAUUUUUGUUGGAGAUCAAGAUGUUUUCAUUAGGACAAAUGCACUGCAGUGCUUUUCUAUCUGCUACAGCAUUCAACGUUGCACAUUUCUGUAGACUUCCGGAAGAACAUGCUUUUAUAUAUAAACAUCAAAUAAUUUGCAAAAGGCAGAGUUCCAGGUAUAGGAGGAGGUCUGGUGCAGUGGGGUGUUCCAGGUCCGCAACACUUGAGGAGAAAACGUCUUAAUCAUGAUGGUUCUCUGCUUGCCAUACUAGAGAGACACACUCUGUUUCCGUCCUCAACUUGCGGACCUGCCCUGAGGAUGUUAUACACCACUAUUGCGCCUACAGUCAUGUUGAUUUCCGACUGGUUGUCUUUGGACUACAUGCCUUGGGCUGACUGACCUGAACCUUUACCAGGACAGAAAUACAAUGUUCAUCACUUUCCUCAUAUUGGACUACUCUGAUUAGUUAUGAGGUCACAGAAAAUAGACUCAUUACUCAUAAAUCAUUGCAGCUCACUUGACUGUGGAUAGCAGAGCUCUCUGGUGUUUCACCAUUUGAAAUUAAACAACAAAAAUGUAAAUUACCAUUGUUUUACACUUCUGACAUAUCGCAGCAGUAAGAGUAGUAUUCUACCUGACUCAUAUAAACAACAUCCUUGAGUGUUUCGUUGAUUAAUAUGUCUUUAUAAGAUUGUAUUCCUUUUUUACCUGUAAAAAAACCUGUAGACAUGCAUGAUCCUGUAAAUCUCACAUAAAUCUCACUACUUGGUAUUUUUAUAUAGGGAUUGUGAAAAAUAUAUUUAAAGUAGUUUUGUAUGGUAAUUGUAAAUCAAAUUUGUUUUCAUUGGACUAGUCCAUAAGAUUUUUGUUAGGAUUUGUUUGUCUUCACCAACUGUUCUUAAUUAUGCAACCUUUUUUGUCCAAUUAUCUCCACGUAAUACAGCCAGCUUUUCCAUUAUUGGU